AGUGAACGCUGGCGGUAGGCCUAACACAUGCAAGUCGAACGGCAGCACAGUAAGAGCUUGCUCUUACGGGUGGCGAGUGGCGGACGGGUGAGGAAUACAUCGGAAUCUACUUUUUCGUGGGGGAUAACGUAGGGAAACUUACGCUAAUACCGCAUACGACCUACGGGUGAAAGCAGGGGAUCUUCGGACCUUGCGCGAUUGAAUGAGCCGAUGUCGGAUUAGCUAGUUGGCAGGGUAAAGGCCCACCAAUGCAACGAUCCGUAGCUGGUCUGAGAGGAUGACCAGCCACACUGGAAUUGAAACACGGUCCAGACUCCUACGGGAGGCAGCAGUGGGGAAUAUUGGACAAUGGGCGCAAGCCUGAUCCAGCCAUACCGCGUGGGUGAAGAAGGCCUUCGGGUUGUAAAGCCCUUUUGUUGGGAAAGAAAAGCAGCAGGUUAAUACCCCGCUGUUCUGACGGUACCCAAAGAAUAAGCACCGGCUAACUUCGUG
rnacentral:rRNA from 1 species